CUUUUUUUUUUUUUUUUUUUUUUUUUUUUUUUGAGAUGGAGUUUCGCUUUCAUUGCCCAGGCUGGAAUUGGAAUACAAUGGCGCGAUCUCGGCUCGCUGCAACCUCCUCCUCCUGGGUUCAAGUGAUUCUCCUGCCUCAGCCUCCUGAGUAGCUGGGAUUACAGACAUGUGCCACCAUGCCUAGCUAAUUUUGUAUUUUUAGUAGAGACUGGGUUUCUCCAUGUUGGUCAGGCUGGUCUUGAACUCCCGACCACAGGUGUUCUGCCCGCCUCGGUCUCCUAAAGUGCUGGGAUUACAGGCAUGAGCCACCGCGCCCAGCCAAGUUGACACUAUAAAUGUUUAGUUGUCACAUUCAGUUUGGGAAGCUUCCCUUGAAGUAAAUGUUGGGCACUGCUUGGCUGUAGCUGCAUUUCUCAGUGAAUAACAACCUCAAAUUUUCUUCACAAAAUUGUCUUUGCAUCCUACAACUCACAGUUCUUGAUGGGAAUAGGGAUGGAACUCUUGAUAUUUAGUCAUGUCCCAUGGAAAAAAAAUUGCUUUUAAAUGUGCUUUCAAUAAAAUAUCAGUAAUCAUGUGUAUUAUGUAAAUUAGUAUUUGUUAUAUUAAGGAAUUCAGCAUUACUUAUGUACACAUUUGUUGCAGAGAAAGAAAUGGUUUAUGAAUUGAAAAGUCAAAUGUAUUCUUUAUAUAGUCUUUUAUAUUACAGAGCUACUGUUUUGUCAUCAGGUUAGCCAUUAUUCACUUCUGACUGAAGGGAUAUUAUAUAGACAUAAUGGUCUCAAAAGUGCUUUAACAGAACACGUAUAUCAUUGAAAGUGAUAUUAAUUUUGAGAACUCAGCAUACUAUUACAACAAGUAGUUACUAGUCACAUUUUAUACGCAGUAUUUACUUCAUGUUUAUUUGAGAAGUACUUACCUAGGCACAUUUUUUGAUUCAAUGAAAAACCCACAGAGAGCUGAACUUUAAUCCAUUGCAAAAAGAUAAAUCAGUUAACACUUUUAAAAAUAUAAACCAUAGCUAGGUGCAGUGGCUCACACCUGUAAUGUCAGCACUUUGGGAGGCCAAGGCAGGAGGAUUGCUUGAAGCCAGGAAUUCAAGACCAGCCUGGACAACAUGGGGAGCCCCCACCCUGGCCGCAUCCCGCCCCUACUCCUGUCAAAAAAGUUUUUUAAAAAGGCAGCCAGGCAUAGUGGCCUGUGCCUGUAGUAGUAGCUACUAGGGAGGCUGAGGCAGGAAGAUCACUUGAGCCCAGGAGUUUAAGGUUACAGUGAACUAUGAUUGUGCCACUGCACUCCAGCCUGGGCGACAGAGCAAGACCCUGUGUCAUAAAAAACAUGAACAUUUGAUAAAAAACAUAAUACAUUUCAUAAAAAACACUUUUACAUAUACAUACAUACAUAACACAUAUACAUACAUAUGUAUGUAUGAAUAUGCCACAUAUAAAAGUAUUAAUGAAAAUAGAAGCACUAGCUAUUGCAAGAGAUCCCUCUCAUAUAAAAGUUUUCAAACUAAUGCCCAAAUUCAAAAUUAAAAUGCUCAGUAUGACAGGUACUUAUAAGAAGAAAUCUGAACCAAAUAACCGAAAUCAAAACUAACAUAAAAGCCAUAUCUAAUUUACAACAAAGGUGGAUUAGUAAAUCCACUGUCAGUAUCUCUAAGUUAUCUCUGAAAAAUCAGACUAUAAUGAAAUUCUCAAUAUUGCAUCAUCAGAGUUUAAAAUUCCAUCCAUUUAGCAAAAAUACCAUUUCAAAUAGGCAGCACAGUAAUCUCAGGCUCUUCUCAGAAAUUGUCAUCUUGCCGGAAGAUAUCUGGUUGCAGAAUUACAUGGUCAUAGGAAGCUCUGUGUAGAAUGUAAAGCAUUCAAAGUCCAAAUCUCUGUAGAACUUGAAUGUCAUGAAUAUCUCUAAAAUGAGCCUCUUAAAUCAUUUCAGAUGGGAAAUGGUCCAGGGUGAAUAGAAAUCUGACAAGCUAUCUCUGGUUACUUCACUUCCCGGAUUAUUUAAAACCUUGUUUGGAAAGGUAUUUACCUACUGUAUUUUCAAGUUCUAAAAAGAUUUGCCUGUUGUUUAUGUGCAAGAGAGUUACUGAACUAUGCAUUUGCAAAAGUUAAUAACUAAUGUGAAUUUUUUUUCCUUCAAGUAACCAGAAGUAUUUUGCUGUUUUGCCCUGGAAACAGGCGCUUUAGAAGACGUGAAAUACAGAUUGCAAAGGGCUGGCUCCUCUGUCUUCC
ensembl:lncRNA novel transcript